AUUGAACGCUGGCGGCAUGCCUUACACAUGCAAGUCGAACGGUAACAGGUCUUCGGAUGCUGACGAGUGGCAAACGGGUGAGUAAUACAUCGGAACGUGCCUAGUAGUGGGUGAUAACUACUCGAAAGAGUGGCUAAUACCGCAUGAGAUCUACGGAUGAAAGCAGGGGAUCGCAAGACCUUGUGCUACUAGAGCGGCCGAUGGCAGAUUAGGUAGUUGGUGGGAUAAAAGCUUACCAAGCCGACGAUCUGUAGCUGGUCUGAGAGGACGAUCAGCCACACUGGGACUGAGACACGGCCCAGACUCCUACGGGAGGCAGCAGUGGGGAAUUUUGGACAAUGGGCGCAAGCCUGAUCCAGCAAUGCCGCGUGCAGGAUGAAGGCCUUCGGGUUGUAAACUGCUUUUGUACGGAACGAAAAGCCCCGGGUUAAUACCCUGGGGUCAUGACGGUACCGUUAGAAUAAGCACCGGCUAACUACGUGCCAGCCGCCGCAGUAA
rnacentral:rRNA from 1 species